rnacentral:lncRNA from 1 species
CUAUUUACAGCUUAAAAAUAGGUGGCCCACUUGGUGGGCGGUGGCUACUGAGAGGAAGCUCCGCCGCCCACAGAUCCCCCCCAAAAAAGCCCAAAUCCAAACCGCGUAAAUUUGCCCAAAAAAAACCACCACCAUAGAAAUUAUAUAGCAAAGAACUUGAAAACACACACACCAGUGUUAGUAGAUUCAAGGCGCGAGAAUCGGAUUCGGUGCCAAUCGUUCUUUCCCUUUAUUAAAACCCCGAAUCUAAUUUCAUCUCAUUUUCCAUUUCAUUUUCAUUUUUUCAUUUUCUUGUUCUUUCUUCUUUGACUUUUCUUCUACAGAGAGGAAAAGGGGAGGAAAGAAAAAAAAAUUAUUUUUGCAAGGAUGCAGAGGCGUCAAGAUCAACGGUCGAGAUCUGUUAAACCCAUUACGGUUCAUGGGUUAGCUCAGUCUGGGGAUCUUGUUGGUCUUCAAAAGUUGCUUAAUGAUAAGCCUU